rnacentral:rRNA from 1 species
UACGUAGGGGGCUAGCGUUGUCCGGAAUCAUUGGGCGUAAAGCGCGUGUAGGCGGUCCGGUAAGUCCGCUGUGAAAGUCGGGGGCUCAACCCUCGAAUGCCGGUGGAUACUGUCGGGCUAGAGUGCGGAAGAGGCGAGUGGAAUUCCUGGUGUAGCGGUGAAAUGCGCAGAUAUCAGGAAGAACACCCGUGGCUAAGGCGGUUCUCUAGUACGGUACUGACGCUGAGACGCGAAAGCGUGGGGAGCGAACAGG